CAGAUGGCAGCAUGAGCCUGGGUAUCCGGGUGAGCACUUGAAAUGUCAAAGCCAUGCAGCAAACCCUCCACAAACACCAAUUUGACACUUUCACCCCUCUUGUUACAAGCAGAGAUCUGAAACAUCUAAGCAGGUGUGUCACUUUAUUUUUAUUUUUUUAAGCGAAGGGAGAACAGCCAGUUCAUUUGCAUGAUCUCUAGCAGUUCUUUUCCAACGGAGCCAGACAGAGAUACAUGUUUAAGUGGUUGUCAUGGAAACCAGAGAGCAUUGCUCUCCCCCAAGGUCUGAAAGAAGGAUGAUGAAAAGUUUAAGCAAUCACCAUGGAAACGUAGAGGAGAUACAAGGCGGGUUCAGAUCCCAGCACACUAACAGAUCAGUCUUCAGGUGCUGAGGUCCUGGUGGAAGGUGAAUUCUGACUAUUCACUGUGGCUUCCAGAAUCAGGGCUGACCCAGAGGCCACAUCCACAGUCAUGGGCUCAGAGCAUCCCAGGGGCUCAGCAGUGAGUUUCCUCAGCAUGGCAGAAGCCCACAGAUCUGCUGUCACAAAGUGGAACCCUGCUCAGGUCUGCAGGAGAAAAGACAUUCGAAGCCCAGCCUGGUCUUUCUCUGGUCUUGACCAAGAUGUGUUCCCUUUCAUGUCUGUGAAUAACCAAAAGAAGCAAGAGGUUCCUGCCUCCCAUCACUAACUCUCUGGACCUCCACACUGGACCUCCACACUGGACAGCAGCUUCAUUUUUUGCUAAGGAGGAAAAGUUUAACCUGAUGAAUCACCAGCAGCACUUCCUGUGACAUUCCACGGAAAACUACAGUUUGCUUAAGAAAAACUCUGAAGUACUUCAGCUACUGCGGUUUCUGAUCUACACAGAAAUGGAAAAAUUUGAGUUCUUCUCUAGGCUGAUACACCGAAGCUAUUCCACCAACAUUUUUCUCUCUUGGAAGUUCCCAAUUAUCAGCACUACAUCUACCCUAUAAUCAGCCUGAAAUACUUAAAUGAACAGGGAUGUCCUGGGUGGGGGGGUGGAAUAUAGCAUUACCUCCAUGCCAAUCUCAUCCACGUACCGCUUUUUUUUUUCUUUUUUUCUUUUUGCUGCAACUGCAGCAUAUGGAAGUUCUUGGGGCCAGGGAUCAAAUCCAAGACACAGCUGCAACCUAUGCCACAGCUGCGGCAACACCAGAUCCUUAACCUACUGCACAGUGGCCUGAGCCACUGCUGCACAGACAAUGCCAAUCCUUAGUCUGCUGCACCACCGUGGGAACUCCAAAAUAGCACUUAUGCAACCAUCUCUUCCCAGUUUCCUCAUCUGUACCACUAAGCACAGAAAAUGAUUUGAAGGGCUAUUUUUUCAGUUCUCUCAGGGAUGGCAUCUAAUUAGCAUCAUUCUAGACACCUGGAUGCAAAGCUAAUCCACACACACAAAGGAUGCCUUUGGACACAGUUGACCUUGACUUUAUUGAUGGAGAUCUUUAUGGCAAGAGUCUUUAUGAUGAUGGAAAGGGAGUUAUUCUAGUAUCAAUAAUAUUCUAGCAGCAGAUAUGCCAAGAGGUCAGAGCAAUGAAGUCGCUGAACUCUUGAGAUGAUUACAAAUCUUUCAAGUUCUUGUCAAGAGCAAAUAGCUCAGAAGGGUAUAAAAGGAGAUUACUGCCCUUCUUAAGAAACCGGUUAGCAUGCUGAACAUAACACUGAUGAAUAUUAUCAAAUGAUCUUCAAGUGCACAAGCCUGGGCUAGAUGCAACAAAAGAAGAAGCCCAAGGAAAGUCGCUCGUGGAGACAGCCUUUGUGAUAUGAUGAUGAUGAACUGAGUUUCCCUUGCUUUUGUCGCCAUGUUGCCAAUGUAGCUUCCCUUAUGCUCAUCCCUGAUUCCAAACCGUGAAGACUCUGAAAGCCGAUGAAGGAUGGUGAGGCGAUGUUAGGUGAGACAGGCACAGCCAAUGCUUCUGAACUUAUUUCCCUCUGGAGCACAACUCAUCACUUUGCUAGAUGGCAACAUGAACUCUUUAAGGCUACCUUCAUUUUAAGUUUUUUUUCAGCCUAAAUAAAAUUCGAUUUUUAAAAUGAGCAUCAGAUGAAGACUCAUUACUGUUUGAAAAUGUUGACUUUUGAACAUUCAAAUAUAGCUCCAUAAAGAGCCACCCACGAUUGACAUUUUAUCUCAUUAAAGUGUUGUUAAUUAAGAACCACAGCCACGAGCAAUGACGAUUAAAGCAGCAGACCCCCAAAACUCUUCCUGAAACAAAAGGCAACUCGAAUUUGCUUAGAACCUAAAUCAAAGGAACACAGCCAUAUACGCCUGUUCACUCCAAGUCCACUAGGGGGCAGUGAAUGAUCAAGUUUCCACUAGGCGGCUGUAAUGAUGGUUGCUAUAUAUACACCUGAAGUGUGGCAGGCCCUUUACACAAAGUGAGCAGUGCGGCAGCGAUGACAGGUGUAGGGAGCAGCCAGUUACUGCUACCAGCAGUCUGUCAGAGGGAUGAAGUGAAAUGAGUCAUUUGCAUUUUUACCAAUGAACCUGCAUUAUGAUGAACAGGCACUGUCACCUGGAUAGGCCCUGGCUUCGCCUCCCUGACUUCUGCUGGACCGCUGCCAGUCACCAGGGCUGCAGCACGGUGGGCAGAGCAAGCCCAGGAGCCCGAUAUAACAGUCCCCUGGUGCUGAUGACCACAAGGGCACGAUGACCGUGGC
rnacentral:lncRNA from 1 species